rnacentral:lncRNA from 1 species
AUGCAGGUCAGAUAUUGUCCCUUUGUAUAUUUAUAACUGCUGUUGAUACUGAAUAUUUAAAAUGAAUCAUGGAGCUGAGGCAGAGGAAUGUAACUUUGAGGCCACCCUGAGCUACACAAGACCCUGCCCCCAAUGAUGAUUUAAGUUAGUGAUAAUGGUGGGCUUCUGUUUUCACCAGUUUCUGAACUAAAUCUAUUAAGUGUGUCUCUGCCUCAAUGACAAAGUUCCUCGUAUCUCAGGGUUUCCCCUUAUAUAUAUUAUGGAGCCUGAUUUCUACAGCUCACUCCUUAGCAUCUUUUAUCUGCAUAGCUUACUAAAGACAGGUCAGAUAUGAAUUCACUCACUCAAGAUAAUGGAUUAGAGAAUCUAUGCUUGGGAUAGAUGGAAUAAGUCUAUUUCAGAUUUCUAUUUCACUUGGGCUUUUCCACAAAUCCCUGGCAUUUUCUCAUACUGGUUUUGUUUUGAGGUUUUUUGUUUGGUUUGAGGGUUUUUUGUUUUUAUUUUUUUAUUUAUUUGUUGUUGUUGUUGUUUGUCUUCUUUUGAGUCAGGGUUUCUCAGUGUAACCAGUCCUGGCUAUUUGGGACUUGGCCUCAAACUCACAAAGAUCUGCUUGCCACUGCCUCCCAAAUGCUAGUACUAAAGGUGUGCGCCACCCACACCUGGCUUAUUGUCUGUCCUUUUGACACAACCUGUCAAAACCCUGUCACCCCCCAUGCUGGGAACCACACUCAGGUCCAAUGUUGUCUAGCAAGUACUCCACCAUCCUUCACAACAGUUUCAACACCUUUCAACUCAGGACAUAUGAAGAGUUGGUAAAGUAGGCCUAUAGCUGUCUCAUCUCAAGAUUUUCCAGGAUAAAGCCCUGGCUAGUCUGACUCUGCACUAUCACAACAGAACUAUAACCUCAGGUUAUAUAGAGUUGUCACCAAAAUUGUUAUGCUUUUCUUUUUUAAAUUCAUAACACUGGAGAUAAACCCAGGAUCUUAUAAAUGCUGAAUAUACUUUCUACCACUCUACACCUAAUAUCAUCUUUUUUUGUUUUUGUUUGGUUUGGUUUGGUUUUUUGAGAUAGGGUUUCUCUGUAUAGCCCUGGCUGUCCUGGAACUCACUUUGUAGACCAGGCUGGCCUCGAAUCCAGAAAUCCGCCUGCCUCUGCCUCCCGAGUUCUGGGAUUAAAGGUGUGUACCACCACGCCUGGCUAAUAUCAUCAUUUUUAACAAGCAGUUUCUCAAAGUGACCUGCCACAGCAGAAAGCUUACCAGCUCAUAGCCUGCUUACAACCUCAGACAAAAGCAAUGCAUGUUGAUCUUAUCACAAGCUCAGUGGUUUUCAUUAAUAAACUUGUCAGAAUGGUUUUGUAUUAGUUUAUAGCUUCUUUGGUGAGAAAAGAUUUGCUAUCCUAAGCUGGUCAAGCAUACUUUCAGGGAAUUACCCCCCAAAUAUCAUAGCACCUACAAGCUAAAAUACAAAACUCAAUUAAGAAAGGAAUACACGGGGGAGAAAAGUGAAGAAGGAUAGAACUGCUCUGGGAUUGUGAAAUCAGUUCCAAUUACAGGACACAACAGUUUAAAACAAAUGUGGGAGUCAGAUUUAGUUCCUACUUCACCAAAACCUUAAGUAUUAGAAGUCCCAAGAGCCUUCUUGUGUGUCUAGACCAGCUGGAUAAUGGAUCUCAAGUAGAGCAAGAGUACGAAGAUCACCUCAGACCUUGUCAUUAUACUGGUACUCAAACAGGUCCUAGGCAAAGAGUAUGCAAUGUUACGGAUGAUCCUGGCCACUACAACUGAGCCCACUAAAAAAUAAACUAGGAAUUUGGAGUCUAAAAAACAAGAGAAGAAAAACAACAACAAAAAGACUGUGUAUUUUUAAUUAGUAUUCAUAUAUGCUCUUAUAAAAAGCUAGUUAUAGCCUCCCAAAUUUCGAAAGUUAGCGACAUUACUUUUCAGAACAUACUGUUUUAUGGUUCCAAAGCGAGUAACAUUAUAUCUUAUUUUUUCCCAAGGACCUCCCUCUUCAUUCUUCAGUUAGGGCCUGUCACCACCUAGUGGACUAUGUAGGAAUAAUACAACCACUACAUCACCACAGUGGCCCACCUCUUCUGUUCUAGAACAAAUCUCUAGACGGAGUUUUCAGAAUCAGAUAAGAGCUCCUGUACCUAUCUAAAAAACCAGUUGGGUAAUUUGUAACUAUAUAAAAUACAGAUUUAAACAAAUAAAAGAUAUGUACUCAAGAUAAUGAAUGGGCUAAAGAAAAACAAAAAUCGCUAUAGACAGCAUAGUACUGGGGUUAAGACAAGCUUUGGUUCCCAAAGAUUAACCUGUUUAACAAAAUUAAUUUCCAAAGCUUAACUUAUCAAGAUAUGAAAAUUUUCAUACCUCAUAACUACAUGAGUUUUCCCCCAGGUUAUAUGGGUCACUCAACUUUCAAACCUCAAUCAGUAAAACCACAUCAACAAAACAUAUACAUCAAGAUACAGAAACUGUAUUUAAACACUUGGGCAUUGUUCAUAAUAAAAAUCCUACCAAGCUACAAAUAGAAAAGGAAGGAAGUUUCCAAAAGCUGAUUGUAUUUUAUCUUUUUUAAUCUAUAGCUUCCUGACCUCAAAACUGGCUAAAAGGCUAGGCGUGGUGGCAGAUGCUUGCAAUCCCAGCAUUUGAAGGCUGCUAUAAGAAGACUGCAAAUCCCAAAUCAAUCCAGGAUACAGGGAGAGAUUCUUUCUC